rnacentral:rRNA from 1 species
GCUGACGAGUGGCGCACGGGUGNGUAACGCGUAUGCAAUCUNCCUUGUACUGGAGUAUAGCCCAGGGAAACUUGGAUUAAUCCUCCAUAGUCUAUNGAUAUGGCAUCGUAUUAAUAGUAAAGGUUACGGUACAAGAUGAGCAUGCGUCCUAUUAGCUAGUAGGUGUGGUAACGGCACACCUAGGCAACGAUAGGUAGGGGUCCUGAGAGGGAGAUCCCCCACACUGGUACUGAGACACGGACCAGACUCCUACGGGAGGCAGCAGUGAGGAAUAUUGGACAAUGGGCGGGAGCCUGAUCCAGCCAUGCCGCGUGCAGGAAGACUGCCCUAUGGGUUGUAAACUGCUUUUAUACGGGAAGAAUAAGUGUUACGUGUAGCACGAUGACGGUACCGUAAGAAUAAGCACCGGCUAACUCCGUGCC